CCUACGGGAGGCAGCAGUGGGGAAUAUUGCACAAUGGGGGAAACCCUGAUGCAGCGACGCCGCGUGAGUGAAGAAGUAUUUCGGUAUGUAAAGCUCUAUCAGCAGGGAAGAAAAUGACGGUACCUGACUAAGAAUCCCCCGCUAACUACGUGCCAGCAGCCGCGGUAAUAAGUAGGGGGCAGGCGUUAUCCGGAUUUACUGGGUGGAAAGGGGGCGUAGUCGGCCAGGCAAGUCAGAAGUGAAAGCCACGGGCUCAACCCUGGGACUGCUUUUGAAACUGCCGGGCUGGAGUGCAGGAGAGGUAAACGGAAUUCCUAGUGUAGCGGUGAAAUGCGUAGAUAUUAGGAGGAACACCAGUGGCGAAGGCGGCUUACUGGACUGCAACUGACGUUGAGGCGCGAAAGCGUGGGGAGCAAACAGGAUUAGAUACCCGGGUAGUC
rnacentral:rRNA from 1 species